GCCCUGUACACUGUGCUGGAUGCGCCCUAUGACUUCUCCAUUAAAGACAUGCCAAACUUGAGAAACUGGUGGUGCGUCAUGUUAAUGGAGAAUCUGGAACUUGGCAGUUAUGGAAAAAUGUUUGCCCAUUGGACGGAGUCCUCCAAGGCCC